AUUGGUGGCCCAUGCUUCAGUGCUCUGUGAGUGUUUAUAGCCCUGUGACUUUAACACUUCAUGACUGAGAGCUGCUGCUCAGCAACUUCACCCACAGCAACCAUGACUUUGAUCAGCGUCUUCAUCUGCACACUGGCCCUCUGGACUCAAGGAUCCAGAGGUCAGGUGACUGUGACUCAGACUCCUUCAGUGCAAACUGUUGCUCCAGGAAACACAGUCACCAUCAACUGUAAAACCAGUAGCAGAGUAGAAUAUGGUAACCAUCUCGCCUGGUACCUGCAGAAACCUGGAGAAGCUCCUAAACUCCUGAUCUACUAUGCUACUAGCAGACAGUCAGGGAUUCCAGAUCGUUUCAGUGGCAGUGGAUCUAAUACUGACUUCACUCUGACCAUCAGUGGAGUCCAGACUGAAGAUACAGGAGAUUACUACUGUCAGAGUUACCAUGAGAUCAGCAGUAACCCAGUGUUCACACAGUGUUAGAGCGUCGUACAAAAACCUCGGUCAGUGAGACUGCACAGAGAAACACUGCUGCAGCUGGGAGUGACUGCAGGUGCUGAGGGGGAGGAUGUGAUACAGCACAAUGACACACACUGUGGACCAGAGAAAACACACCACACUAACUCACUAAUGCACACACACACACACACACACACACACACACACACACACACACACACACACACACACACACACACACACA